rnacentral:rRNA from 1 species
UACGUAGGAUCCGAGCGUUGUCCGGAUUUACUGGGUGUAAAGGGUGCGUAGGCGGGUCUUUAAGUCAGGGGUGAAAUCCUGGAGCUCAACUCCAGAACUGCCUUUGAUACUGAGGAUCUUGAGUUCGGGAGAGGUGAGUGGAACUGCGAGUGUAGAGGUGAAAUUCGUAGAUAUUCGCAAGAACACCAGUGGCGAAGGCGGCUCACUGGCCCGAUACUGACGCUGAGGCACGAAAGCGUGGGGAGCAAACAGG